ensembl:lncRNA
GGUGGCUCGCUAUUAGUGAGUGCAUCAACCGGAUCCUUGCACAGUAUGUUGAGCUUAAGUUGCAUUUUCAGUUGACAAAAGACAGUGAGAGGAGCUAUGCUGCAGAACUGCUGUACCAAAUGUAUAGUGACAAUAUUAACCUGAUAUACCUGAAAUUCCUCCAACCAAUUGUGUCAGAGUUAAACAGACUUAAUAAAAUCUUUCAACUUGACAAACCUGAUCCUGCAAAACUUCUUACGGAACUUCUAACAUUUUACCGGUCCCUGCUUGAGCGCAUAGGUUUGCCGAAGACAUUCCAGAGCUGGCAAGACAUCAUGGAGUUUAACCUUUCUGAUGAGAAUCUUUUGCCACUUGAUGCCGUAGACUUUGGGGUGCAGUUCCGUCUUGCUUUGUUUGAAGCCAAUGGAAUAAGUGACCUAGCUGAACAGGACAUGAAACGCAGGUGCAGGGACUACAUGCUAGAGUUAUCUAAGGAAAUUAGGAAGAGACUUCCAGAUAACAUUAAACAGUUAGAGGCUCUCAAAUUCCUGUCCCCGAGUCAUACUCUGUCGUCAAGUAAGCCAAGGAUUGAUGAUCUUCCCUUUUUCCACCUCUUCAAGGGAGAUGUAGGAAAAGCAGAGCAACAGUGGAGAGUAAUUCACACUCUGGAAUGGAACAAUGCAGAAGAUGGCAAAACAGAGGACUUCUGGGUAGAAGUUUCUGCAUACAAAGAUACUGCAGGUGAUAGAAACUUUGAAGAUCUUGGGAAUUUUGUAUUGAGUCUUCUUGCUCUACCAUUCAGCAAUGCAGCAGUUGAGCGUUCAUUUUCCCAAAUGUCACUGUUAAAGAACAAGCUACGAAACAGGCUAGAGCAGAAUUCUUUGCUAAAUAUAAUGAGGAUUCGAGCUUACAUGCAAAGAAGAAACAUAUGCUGCCAUGAAUUUAAACCAUCACCACGGAUGCUUUCUCUCUUUACUGCUGAAAUCUAUUCAGCACCACCUGAGAAGGGUGGGGAAGAGAGCACCAAUGUCUAAAAUAAAACAGUCCUGAGAUUGUAUAUAGUUCUGUUCAAAUCUGUAAUCAAAAUGAGGCUGCACAGUUAGACCAUCUAAUAAGAAAAUGUUGUGAAAAGUUCUGAAAAAAGAGAAGACAAACAACAACAAAAACAAAGGGACAAGUGUUCAAGUUCACCCAAAGAUCUGGAGAUCUGGAGAGAAAAGCAUCAGAGAGAAGUGCUGAGAAGAGAAAAAGCCCAUCUGAAGUGCAGCUGGCAGCUGAAUUAGUGAGAGCAGCUGAGAGUCAUAAAUCAGAGGCAGACACAGAAUUCCAUCCGUGGCUCUGGCAUUCACUCUGUCAGCCAUGAAAUAAAGACGUAGCGAUGCAGGGGGUCAGAGGUGCCAGGCCUCAACCAACUCACACCCCUCCAGACCCCUCAGUAAACAUACGCCGGUCAUCCCAAAUCCCGUCAGCCUCUCAUCUUGUUCACCCCUCCACCAAUGACAUGGGCACUGGAUGUACCCGGCUCAGGGUUCGCAGUGUCAUUUGUGUGGUCCCAUCCACGCUCCCUCCCAUCAUGGCACACGGAUCGCCUUCUUCCUGAGACAGGAACCUGAUACUGAGACAGUGUGUCUGUAAUGAUGUCAAACAUGCUCUGGUUAUGUGGCCCCCGCCGUGAUAGAACCUGUCUUUAGCACCACACUCACAUUCAUCACAGACAGUUGGUUACACUCACACACACACACACACACACACAGACUUACACAUCGACGGUGUUCAGACCAUAUAAGCUGCGAAUGCUCAGCAUACCCUAACCAUUUGAGAGAGUUUGGAGCCUUGCUAAUUAAUAUUAACAUUACUAUAAAUUCCCUUUUGUGACAUAAAGCUUUCAUAACAAUCUGUGAUAUUUUAAUUGCCAGAUAUUUUUAGCAAAUCUGUGCCAGUUAUGGAGGGAUUCGGUUGGGCGGCA